UGCAAGUCGAACGAGACGAUUGAAAGCUUGCUUUUGAAAGUCGAGUGGCAAACGGGUGAGUAACGCGUAGACAACCUGCCUUUGAGAUGGGGACAACAGUUCGAAAGGACUGCUAAUACCGAAUGUUGUGUAUUUCCCACAUGGGAGAUACAUUAAAGAUGGCCUCUAUUUAUAAGCUAUCGCUCAAAGAUGGGUCUGCGUCUGAUUAGCUAGUUGGUGGGGUAAUGGCCUACCAAGGCAACGAUCAGUAGCCGGUCUGAGAGGAUGAACGGCCACAUUGGGACUGAGACACGGCCCAGACUCCUACGGGAGGCAGCAGUGGGGAAUCUUCCACAAUGGACGAAAGUCUGAUGGAGCAACGCCGCGUGAGUGAAGAAGGGUUUCGGCUCGUAAAGCUCUGUUGUCGGGGACGAACGUGAGAUACUUGAAUAAAGUGUCUCAAUGACGGUACCUGACGAGGAAGCCACGGCUAACUACGUGCCAGCAGCCGCGGUAAUACGUAGGUGGCAAGCGUUGUCCGGAAUUAUUGGGCGUAAAGGGAGCGCAGGCGGGAAGGUAAGUCGGUCUUAAAAGUGCGGGGCUCAACCCCGUGAUGGGAUCGAAACUAUCUUUCUUGAGUGCAGGAGAGGAAAGUGGAAUUCCUAGUG
rnacentral:rRNA from 1 species